rnacentral:rRNA from 1 species
AGAUUGAACGCUGGCGGCAUGCCUUACACAUGCAAGUCGAACGGCAGCACGGGAGCAAUCCUGGUGGCGAGUGGCGAACGGGUGAGUAAUAUAUCGGAACGUGCCCAGUCGUGGGGGAUAACGCAGCGAAAGCUGUGCUAAUACCGCAUACGAUCUCUGGAUGAAAGCGGGGGACUCGCAAGGGCCUCGCGCGAUUGGAGCGGCCGAUAUCAGAUUAGCUAGUUGGUGGGGUAAAAGCUCACCAAGGCGACGAUCUGUAGCUGGUCUGAGAGGACGACCAGCCACACUGGAACUGAGACACGGUCCAGACUCCUACGGGAGCAGCAGUGGGGAAUUUUGGACAAUGGGCGCAAGCCUGAUCCAGCAAUGCCGCGUGCAGGAUGAAGGCCUUGGUUGUAAACUGCUUUUGUACGGAACGAAACGGCUUACUUUUAAUAAAGAGGACUAAUGACGUACCGUAAGAAUAA